rnacentral:rRNA from 1 species
GUGCCAGCCGCUGCGGUAAUACGUAGGUGGCGAGCGUUAUCCGGAAUUACUGGGCGUAAAGCGCAAGCAGGCGGCGUAUUAAGUUUGACGUGAAAUCUCCCGGCUUAACCGGGAGAAGCCGUUGAAAACUGGUAUGCUUGAGGCGGUGAGAGGGGUGUGGAAUUCCCGGUGUAGUGGUGGAAUGCGUAGAUAUCGGGAGGAACACCAGAGGCGAAAGCGACACCCUGGCACUUGCCUGACGCUGAGAUGCGAAAGCGUGGGGAGCAAACGGGAUUAGAUACCCCGGUAGUCCACGCCGUAAACGAUGAUACUGGGUGUAGGGGGGUUAGAGCCCUCUGUGCCGAAGCAAACGCGAUAAGUAUUCCGCCUGGGAGUACGGCCGCAAGGCUAAAACUCAAAGGAAUUGACGGGGCCCGCGACAAGCAAGCGGAGCGUGUGGUUUAAUUCGAUGCAACACGAAGAACUUACCUGGUUUGACAUGCAUGUAGUAGUGAAGCGAAAGUGGAACGACCCUUCGGGGAGC